rnacentral:lncRNA from 1 species
GAAAUUUCUUCCACCUGGGAUCAUUUAAAAUGAUUAAAACUCACCUAAAAACAUGAUUUAAGAUCAAAAACUAAGAUCAAAAGUAUGGAAUCAACUUGAAAAUUUACAAAAUUUACAAAAAUGUUGGACUGUGGUAAACCACGUCCAACAAACCCUUUUUUGCUUAGGCUUUUUGAGGCUCAAGGAGGUUGAUCUCCUCCUUUUCUGGUUUGAAUGGCUCCAUGAAUGGCUUGAGACGAUAUCCAUUGACU